rnacentral:RNase_P_RNA from 1 species
AGACAAUCGCGGCUGCAGGUGCCGAAAGGCCGCAGACGAGGAAAGUCCGGGCUUCACAGGGCAGGAUGCCGGAUAACGUCCGGUGGAGGUGACUCCAAGGCCAGUGCAACAGAAAUAAACCGCCCCGGCAGCAGGCAGCAGUGCCGCUCCGGGGUAAGGGUGGAAAGGCAGUGUAAGAGACUACCGCCUCGCUGGUAACAGAGAGGGCACAUGUAAACCCCAUCCGAAGCAAGACCGAGUAAGAGGCUAUGUGGCGGCCCGUCACGUCUCAGGUAGGUCGCUCGAGCACGGCGGCGACGCCGUGCCUAGACAGAUGAUUGUCCACGACAUAACCCGGCUUAUCGUCUUGCUUA